rnacentral:miRNA from 1 species
CGGUGUGGGAGUAGAUUUCUG